UACGGAGGAGGCAAGCGUUAUCGGGAAUUAUUGGGCGUAAAGCGUCCGUAGGUGGUUCACCAAGUCUGCUGUCAAAGGGUGGGGCUUAACCUCAUAAAGGCAGUGGAAACUGGUGAGCUAGAGUGCGGUAGGGGUAAGGGGAAGUCCCAGUGUAGCGGUGAAAUGCGUAGAGAUUGGGAAGAACAUCGGUGGCGAAAGCGCCUUACUGGGCCUGCACUGACACUGAGGGACGAAAGCUAGGGGAGCGAAAGGG
rnacentral:rRNA from 1 species